rnacentral:rRNA from 1 species
AACGAACGCUGGCGGCAUGCCUAACACAUGCAAGUCGAACGAGACCUUCCGGUCUAGUGGCGCACGGGUGCGUAACGCGUGGGAACCUGCCCUUAGGUUCGGAAUAAUUCCCCGCAAGGGGUGCUAAUACCGGUUAAUGUCAUCGGACCAAAGAUUUAUCGCCUUUGGAUGGGCCCGCGUUGGAUUAGCUAGUUGGUAGGGUAAAAGCCUACCAAGGCGACGAUCCAUAGCUGGUCUGAGAGGAUGAUCAGCCACACUGGGACUGAGACACGGCCCAGACUCCUACGGGAGGCAGCAGUGGGGAAUAUUGGAGAAUGGGCGAAAGCCUGAUCCAGCAAUGCCGCGUGAGUGAUGAAGGCCUUAGGGUUGUAAAGCUCUUUUACCCGGGAUGAUAAUGACAGUACCGGGAGAAUAAGCUCCGGCUAACUCCGUG